rnacentral:rRNA from 1 species
GCAGUAGCCGCGGGAAUACAGAGGGUGCGAGCGUUAAUCGGAUUUACUGGGCGUAAAGCGUGCGUAGGCGGCUUCUUAAGUCGGAUGUGAAAUCCCUGAGCUUAACUUAGGAAUUGCAUUCGAUACUGGGAAGCUAGAGUAUGGGAGAGGAUGGUAGAAUUCCAGGUGUAGCGGUGAAAUGCGUAGAGAUCUGGAGGAAUACCGAUGGCGAAUGCAGCCAUCUGGCCUAAUACUGACGCUGAGGUACGAAAGCAUGGGGAGCAAACAGGAUUAGAUACCCGAGUAGUCCCUGUCUCUUAUAC